CUAGGAGUCUGGGAAGCAGUCGGUGGAGGUUUUCCGCGUCCGGGAGGCCGGGCUGACUUAGUCCUGGCUUUCCCCUGCUGGAAGGACCCCGGCCCGGACCUGUCUGAUCCUCGGUGGCCUGAGCCACCCCAAACUGACUCUCGGUGGCCUGAGCCCUUGACCUGCAAAGCAUCCAGAUUCAGGCUCCCUGCCUGCAGAGCAACACCGGGGUGGGCGCUGGAGGCCCUGAAGGCGGGCUCCUGGGUGGAGGCCACCCUCCCUCGGAGGCUGCCUCCUCCUGGGUGUGUGAGCUGCCUUGUCACCUGCGGCCCAGGACCCAGAACCGUCAUCCUCCUCUCUUCCCUACCCCCCCUUCCCCACAGUUUUUCCUACAAACCCCUCAAAUCACCCAUUACUUGGGCCUCCCUCUCACUCCCUACCGUUGUAGGUAAAGUUGAGGUUCCCUGGCACCCUACUUCCUGGACCGUGGUUCACCUUCCCUGUGCUUCUUCUCCCAGGUACAGUCCCCUCCCUGUCUCCCCACUGCCCAGGGAAGCUGCCCUCGAGUCUGAUGUGGUUUUCUGGCACCUUCCUUUGAAACCCUACCACCACCACCACCGCCACCACCCAGAUCUGUGGGACCCCCGUAGAGCCGGGCCAGGACUAGGGUGAGGAUAGUGAGGUGCCCAGGGUGCAAAAUUUAUGCAGACGUCCAUUCUCAGUGGCCACCCCGACGGGGAGUGUCUCCUUAACUAUGUGUCCAAGGUACCUCACUUGCCUCACCCUAGUCCCACACCUGUUGCAGAACACGGGAGAAAGAAAACCUGCUUGUGAAAGGAUGUUCCGGGGAUUACUGGGGUUCUGAGUAAUGUUCAUAGCAGCUACCCCUUAGGGAUCCUACAACAUCUCCCAGGAGCAAGGCUGUUGCCUAAACACAGCUGCGUGGGGUGUGCACUGAACAAGGGUGUGACGCCAAGGGGUAAGUGUGGCUGAAAUCCACCUGUCUCCACUCUGUGUGUCUGAGCGUGGGGCCUGCGUCACCCUGGAAAAGGGGGUACCUGGUGGUGUUUUAUCCGCUGGUGACGGAGGCUUUCAGUACCUCCCGCCAGAUAUGGAAUGUGCUAGUGAUGGCCCUGCAGACAGCAGGAAGCAAAGGUGACGUGAGAGGGAAGGCACUUGCCCUGGGACACAACAGCAGGGCACCAGGACCCGAGUUUCUUGAGUCUUCACUUCAUCUGCCCUUUACUUUUUACCGCUCAAGUACAAUAUGUUAGACGACUGAGUGCUCUGCACAGGCAGAGCUGAGUCUAAAGCAGAUGUCCCUUUUAUGCCCUUUCUUGCCUGCCCCUCCCCCGCCUUGCCAAGGCCGAGUUAAUUCCCUCCACGUCUUUUCAAGCAGCUUGGGCUCGCCUCUAAUCCCGCGUCUGUCCUCCCCACUGGACUGCGGAUUCCUAGAGGGCAGAGACUGUGUCCCGCGGCCUCAGUCUCAGCACACGGCCUGGUAAAUUCUAAGUGCGCUGGGCGUGCAUCACCCACAUUUCCUGGGACCCCUGGGGACCCAGGCUCGGUGCCACGAGGCCAGAGCACUUAAUAAGACACAGACCGUUAAGCAACAGUAAUUUAAAAAUAAUGCCAACUGUGACUUGUGUCCCUCUAACACCCUUACAAUCCUUUUCCCUCCGUGUCCCCGUCCCUUUCUCUCUCUCUUUUCCAUUUCAGGCCCUCUCCACCUAUUUUCUUGCUUCUGUGAUACAAAACCUGGAAACCAGGUUGUCCAAGAGCCGGAGUCACAUUCCAGAGGGAGGGCAGGUGUAGCGGAUCAGCCGGUUGUCCUCCAACCCUGUCCCCCUCUUCCUCACUGGCACGUGGCUGCUCUGCUAGACGUGAUGUUUCCCGGCCUCCCUGGCAGGAGUGGCCACGGGACUAAGUCCCGGCCGUCGGAACGUGAAUGCAAGCGAGGGAGGCCACUUUGAGGCCGAGGCCUUAAGUCACCCGGUGCCUUCUUUUUCCUCUCUGCUUGGCUGCAGCCAGCCGUGGCGACAACCCCCAAAGGGGGCGAUGAAGCUUAUGGGAUGGAAGAGUCCCACCGCGGAAGGGUCUCUGAAUGGCCAGGGCCUCCUGUAUGAGAGACGGUGUCCUCGCACGGGGCCUGCUGUGCGAGAGGUCGGGACACUUCUAUAUUCCUUACGCUGUUCUGUGUUGGGGUGUCUUUGCCCCAGCGGAGAGCAGUGUAGGCUUUCCCGUAAGUAAGAGAGCCAGGAAGGGGAGAGGCUGGCUGAGCAGUUACAACCAGAAUCUUCUCCAGGAGAAAGGGCGAGCGGAGUCCGGGCCUCCCACACGACGGGCUCUGUCCCAUCACACGCUUGGUGGAAGGACGGAACGGCCAGGGGUGCUCCCAGCAGAAACGAAUGAUGACGGUUUCUUGUGUAACCAAAGGGGAAGGGGAAAGAACGGGGUCACCUGGCAUCCGGGUUCAGCGCUGUCAGAGCCUCAAAAGCAACAGAAACAACCUCCGUUCCAUCCGCCACUGUUCUACAGGACUCUUACCUACCCUGCCGGCCUUCCCCGAGGGGAGGGCAACAGCAGGCCCCCUGCUUUCACAGGGGCCUCCCCAGAGGAGAGUGGGAGGCUUGCCCAAGGUCACCCCGGCUGUUAGAGGCGGAAGGGCCAUGGAAACCCCAAGAAGGGAUUUGGAGCCAAAAAGGAUUUGAACCUGGGAGCAGAUGGGGAAACCAGCAAGGGAACCCUCCCCAGGUGGAAAGAUUAACUCAAGAAGCUGUGGCCAAAGACAAUGGAUGGAAAUGACCUAAGGAACUGCAGGAAGGAGAGAAGCCUGCGGUCCAGGCACCUGGCGGGGUUCCUCACAGCCUGCUGAGCGGCCACCAUUCACACUGACGGUGGCGUGCUAGGGCUGGAGGAAGACGCCAAGGCUGAAACACUGAGGUCUGAAAAGGAAAUGCAGGAACCACAAAGUUCUGUGAAUUGUCUGAGCCAAAAGAGACAAAAUGGCCUUGGGGAGGGCCUGGAGCCCAGACGGCCAGGGGGAAGGAAAACCUGAUGGGCCUCCAAUCUUCCCAGGUAACGUCCUUUCUUUUCAACAUUCCCUGCACAUUUAUGGAGCACCGAUAGUAUACCGUGCACCUCUGUACCCUAGGGAUACAGCCAUGAACCAAACAGGAAAAACAAAACAGGGGCCCCACCUGCUAGUGGGGGAAGCAGACAGUAAAACACAACCACAAGAAAUAAGUCAAUUCUGUAGUGUCAAGAUGCAGUAAGAACAGAAAAACAAAAAUAAAAACGAAAAACGAUGGGACCAGGAGUGACGGAGAUGAGACAGACUGCGUAAUUUGCAGAGCCCAGCGCAGAACGAAAACGCGGGGCCCUUGUUCCAAAGGCAGAGAAAAGAGCUGUUAAAGGUUUGAAGGAUGGGAAGUCCAAGAUCAAGGUGCCCGCCAAUUCAGUUCCUGGCUUGGGGGUCACGGAAGUGGAAGGUCCUGGGACCCAUAUCCGAGAACUAUGUAAGUAUUUCGGCGAGAUUGCUACUAUAUGCGUUUUUACAAAUUGCCCUGGAGCAAAUGCUUCUCAAACCAUCUGUGGAGAAGGACCAUUUUUGAAAAAAAUUCUAAUCUGUCCCAGACUAAUACUUUUGUAAAG